rnacentral:lncRNA from 1 species
GCGAUAGUCAUGCAUUCUACACGUUGCUUAGCAAGUUUAUUACUUCCAAGACUCCUCCUUCCAUGGAACAACAAUGGUGGUGUCUUCUUCAGCUUACUCCCCAUGAACCCACCGUUGCCGAGCUUCGUUGACCAGCUCCUAGUAGCGGGUAGUACUCCGUUGGUGCAGCGAGACGCGGCCAUGGAGACACCCGGCAUCGUUGACCAGCUCCUCGUAGCAGGUAGUACUCCGUUGGUGCAGCGAGACGCGGCCAUGGAGAACCGGGUGUCGGCUGAUACUGCCAUGUCGUAGUUGACAAAUUUGCAGUAAAAUGGGAAGGGGGGAAUCUCUUCAGUAUAUGAAAGCUUUAGUAGAGAAGUAUGCUUACGUUGGAUGAAUGUAAUUGGAGGAAUGGUGCCACGUUAUCCAAAUUCAUUUGUAUCCACCAGUUCUCUUCUUUCUUUGUCUUUGGAGUUUUGUUUGUUUGUUGGUUUGUAUUUUUUGGGUUGGGGGGAAGAGGGAAGGGCUCUCUGCUGUGUUCUUUCUUGUCA